rnacentral:rRNA from 1 species
ACGUAGGGGGCGAGCGUUGCUCGGAUUUACUGGGCGUAAAGCGCGCGUAGGCGGUCCAUUAAGUGUGCGGUGAAAUUCAGAGGCUCAACCUCUGUCCCGCCGCGCAAACUGGUGGUCUUGAGAUUGGGAGGGGGAUGCGGAAUUCCUGGUGUAGCGGUGAAAUGCAUUGAUAUCAGGAGGAACGCCGGCGGCGAAAGCGUCAUUCUGGCUUAUAGCUGACGCUGAGGCGCGAAAGCGUGGGUAGCAAACGG